AUUGAACGCUGGCGGCAGGCCUAACACAUGCAAGUCGAACGGUAGCACAGAGAGCUUGCUCUCGGGUGACGAGUGGCGGACGGGUGAGUAACGUCUGGGAAACUGCCCGAUGGAGGGGGAUAACUACUGGAAGCGGUAGCUAAUACCGCAUAACGUCGCAAGACCAAAGUGGGGGACCUUCGGGCCUCACACCAUCGGAUGUGCCCAGAUGGGAUUAGCUAGUAGGUGGGGUAAUGGCUCACCUAGGCGACGAUCCCUAGCUGGUCUGAGAGGAUGACCAGCCACGCUGGAACUGAGACACGGUCCAGACUCCUACGGGAGGCAGCAGUGGGGAAUAUUGCACAAUGGGCGCAAGCCUGAUGCAGCCAUGCCGCGUGUAUGAAGAAGGCCUUCGGGUUGUAAAGUACUUUCAGCGGGGAGGAAGGCGGUGAAGUUAAUAGCUUCACCGAUUGACGUUACCCGCAGAAGAAGCACCGGCUAACUCCGUGCCAGCAGCCGCCGUAA
rnacentral:rRNA from 1 species